AAUUUGAUAAAUUAUGAUGUAAAUGUUAAUUUAGCAAAACAAAAUAAUUCAAUUCCAUUCCUAAAAUUUAUUUUUAGAUACCAAUCAUAGGAAUGGAAUCAAACAAGGAAUUACAAUUCCAUUCCUUUUGUAUUCCUUAUGCAUACCAAGCAAAGGAAUCACCAAGGUUUGUCAUUCCUUUCCUCCCUUCAUUCCAUUCCUACCUCCAUUCCAUUCCACCCUCAUUCCAUUCCAUCAUACCAAUCACCUCCUA
rnacentral:lncRNA from 1 species